AACGUAGGUGGCGAGCGUUAUCCAGAAUUACUGGGCGUAAAGGGUGCGCAGGUGGGCUGGUAAGUUCGAUGUGAAAGCCCCGGGCUUAACCCGGGAAUGGCAUUGGAUACUACUGGUCUGGAGGAUCGGAGGGGGGACUGGAAUUCUUGGUGUAGCAGUGAAAUGCGUAGAUAUCAAGAGGAACACCAGUGGCGAAGGCGAGUCCCUGGACGAUACCUGACACUGAGGCACGAAAGCCAAGGGAGCAAACAGG
rnacentral:rRNA from 1 species